CCUGAAGAAUCAGACAGCUCCAUCUAUUUAGGGUUCCCCUGCACCUCCCUUGCUCCUCUGAAUCCGAUCAGCUCUGUAGAAAGCAACCAAGUUUCUUCUGUGAAGCCUCCCUACACCCAGCAUGGGAUCAAAGUAGUGAAACGGAGCCUAGCUGCCAUGAGAUGUUCCCGCCGUCUGCUUCUUCCUCCUUGUUCCUGUCUCUGCACACGUCUUAGCGUUCUUCCUUGUUCAUCUCUGUAGGGUGCAGAUGGGACCAUUGCCAUGAUCACCACCGUCAGAGUCCACUUACUGAACGCCUGCCCUGUGCUAACCACCACGUUUGCAACUUGACAUGAACUACGUCAUAUACUCCUCACAAAACCUAGCGAAGCAGAAGUAUCGCCCCGCUUUAAUGAUGGUGACACUGAGGCAAAGACAGUUUAACAGGCUGGCCAAAGCCCGCACAGAUGAGUGGGUCUUUGAACUGUAAGCUUCUCUCUUCUGAAGGGAAUUUAGAACCUUCAGAAAAAUUGUGACAGAGGCACAGGGUCUCCCUGAGUUGUCCAGGCUGGCCUUGAACUCGUGCUCCUCCUGGCUAACUGGGAUCACAGGCAUACACCGUAGCAUCUGGCUCAAUACCCUCCUUCCCACCACCGGGAAACUACUGUUCUCCACAGCUUUCUCCAACUGCCAGGAAUCUCAUCACUCCCAACCGUAUCUUUCUUGUGUCCUUUUCAGCAAGUGGAAGGGAGGCUUAGCAAAGUCUCAGCACCAGCUAUACUCUGAAGGCAGGGAAACCGUUUGCUUCUCUUUUUCCAACACUCAGCUUCGGUGUCUAAGCCUAAUCCACAGUCAAACAACAUUUCCAGUCUGUUCCCAGAAUGCGGCCUGUCCCUGAGGAUUACCAGGAAGCCACGGUCCAGUCCUUUGGAAGGAGCUGGGUAAUACGUUGUUAACUGGAAAACAAGCAAUCUUCACUUCCUGUCUCUUCAAGUCAGCAGUCCAGGGAUCAGGACCACAAACCUGUCUCUGGGACAGGCCCGAAGAGAUGGUGGCCUUUAGGUGGGCAGAGAAGAGAGCUGUCAGCGUCCAAGAAAGCCAAGGUCUGGGCAGCCUCCCAGAUGCCUAGGAGCUUUUCCUCUUGCAAUCCGUGCCCCAUGGGACACGUUCCUCCUCCUCAGGGUGGAUCAGACCGACUGACUCACCUCUAACACACUUUGGCCAGACCGAUGGCAUCAUGAAAGCCUACGAAGACACUCCAGGUCCAUCGCAGAGCUCCCUCCCCACGCGGCCUCUUAAAUCAUGUGUUCUCGGGGAAUUUAUCUACCCUGCCGUGAACAGCACCAUCAAAGGGUCACCUGGAAUGUAAACUAGUACAACCAUCGUGGGUGUUGGUAUGGGGAGGACUCGAAAAACUAAAAGCAGGUAUCUUCCCAAAAGAGUUAAAGUCACACAUUAUAGUAAUACAGGCAACCCAUGUAUAUAGCAGCAGAACCCAUAAUAGAUGAAUCUUGACAGUGGCCUAUGUGUCCAUCAGCAGACGAGUAGAUAAAGAAUAUGUGGUACUUAUACACAAUGGAGUUCUGCUCUGCCAUAAAGAAAGAUACACUUGAGUCAUUUAUACAAAAAUGGAUGGAUCUUCAGACCAUAAUGCUAGGUCUAAUAAAUCAGACACAGAGGGUUAAAUAUCACAUGGUUUCCCUUACAUGACACUCAGAGUAUAAAUAAUUUAAAGAGAAAAAUAAAGAGAGAUGGUGGGAAAUAAGGCAGUAGACUGCGUGGAGAUGGGAAGAGGGUCUUGAGUAAGAGAAAAGGGGAGGCAGGGAGGGAGGGAUUGAAAUGAUCAAGACGCGACGUGUACAUGUACCAACUCCCCAGAUAAACGGCAUUGUUGUUUAUCACAAACGUGUGAAUCAAAAAGGAAAUGCCCGUGUGAUGCGCAACUCCAGACUUGCAGCAGGCAGACGCACUGUGAGGAGCUCGUGACUCAGUCGUGACCUGGGCCACUGUCCUGGGUGCUUCUGCCUCAGCCUCAGGAGAGAUGCCAAGCUAGAAGGACCCCACUGAGCCCCCAGAUUCCUGACCCACAGAGAUGCAGGUUCAUGCGAGCUUGUUGUUUUAAACCCCAGGAUCUGAGAUAAGUUCCUACGAAGUAUAGAUGUCUAAUACAUUAAAUUAGUUUUCAUGAUGGUUUUUCUCUUCCUGUAAGAUUAUUCAUUUCCUUUGUUGGCUAAUCUGCCUGUUCUAUGUCGCUUAGAUGGCUACUUAUUUUAGACACACAUUACAGGCAGGACAGAAUGCUUUACCCAGCCAGAAAGAAAUGUCAACACAUCAAAUUACAAUCUAGUUUCCUAUGUUAUUGGUAUGAGAAGAAUAAUAAAUUUGACUUGUUCAAGUAGAAAGAAAUGGC
ensembl:lncRNA